rnacentral:rRNA from 1 species
GACGAACGCUGGCGGCGUGCUUAACACAUGCAAGUCGAGCGGAGCGGCGAACGGGUGAGUAACGCGUGAGUAACUGCCCCCCUCUCUGGGAUAACAGUUGGAAACGGCUGCUAAUACCGGAUAGUGGGGGAUGACUCGCGUACUAUCAGCUUGUUGGUGGGGUAGUGGCCUACCACGGCGACGGCGGGUAGCCGCCCUGGGAGGGCGACCGGCCACAGUGGGCUAGGAGCCGGCCCAAACUCCUACGGGAGGCAGCAGUGGGGAAUAGUGCACAAUGGGGGAAACCCUGAUGCAGCACCGCCGCGUGCGGGAUGACGGCCUUCGGGUUGUAAACCGCUUUCAGCCAUGACGCGGUAGUGGCAGAAGAAGCACCGGCUAACUACGUGCCAGCCGCCGGGUAAUAG